rnacentral:rRNA from 1 species
UACGUAGGGUCCGAGCGUUGUCCGGAUUUACUGGGCGUAAAGAGCGCGCAGGCGGUCGUACAAGUCGCGUGUGAAAGCCCCCGGCUCAACUGGGGAGGGUCACGCGAUACUGUUCGACUCGAAGGCAGGAGAGGGAAGUGGAAUUCCCGGUGUAGUGGUGAAAUGCGUAGAUAUCGGGAGGAACACCAGUGGCGAAGGCGACUUCCUGGCCUGUUCUUGACGCUGAGGCGCGAAAGCUAGGGUAGCAAACGGG